AGGGUUUGAUUAUGGCUCAGGAUGAACGCUGGCGGCAUGCCUAAUACAUGCAAGUCGAACGAAGUCUUUAGAAAAGCUUGCUUUUCAAAAAGACUUAGUGGCGAACGGGUGAGUAACACGUAGGGAACCUGCCCAUGUGCCUGGGAUAACAGAUGGAAACGUCUGCUAAAACCGGAUAGGUAUGAGGAUCGCAUGAGCCUCAUAUUAAAAGAGCGCUAGCUCUGAACAUGGAUGGACCUGCGGCGCAUUAGCUAGUUGGCGGGGUAACGGCCCACCAAGGCAACGAUGCGUAGCCGACCUGAGAGGGUGAACGGCCACAUUGGGACUGAGACACGGCCCAA
rnacentral:rRNA from 1 species